rnacentral:rRNA from 1 species
UUAAGAGUUUGAUCCUGGCUCAGGAUAAACGCUGGCGGCGUACCUAAAACAUGCAAGUCGUACACUCGCAAGAGUGUGGCGAACGGGUGAGUAACGCGUAGGAAUCUACCUCAAUCCGGGAAAUACCCCCGCGAAAGCGGGGCUAAUGUCCCAUGAGCCCCGCACCCUUGCCCGAAAUGGAACACGGAUGAAUAAUCCGAGGUGAAAUUUCGAGCAAAGGUGCGGGGCAAAGCUCCGGCGGAUUGAGAAGAGCCUGCGUCCUAUCAGCUUGUUGGUGGGGUAAAUGCCUACCAAGGCUAUGACGGGUAGCUGGUCUGAGAGGAUGAUCAGCCACAAUGGGACUGAGACACGGCCCAUACACCUACGGGUGGCAGCAGUUGGGAAUCGUACGCAAUGGACGAAAGUCUGACGUCGUGACGCCGCGUGAAGGAUGAAGGCCCUCGGGUCGUAAACUUCUUUUCUUUAGGAUGAUUAUGACAGUACUGAAGGAAUAAGGACCUGCUAACUACGUGCCAGCAGCAGCGGUAAUACGUAGGGUCCAAGUGUUAUCCGGAAUUAUUGGGCGUAAAGAGUUCGUAGGCGGUUAGAUAAGUUUUGCUUGAAAGACCGAGGCCUAACCUCGGUUAUGGGUAAAAUACUGUUUAACUAGAGUAUUGCAGGGGCGAGUGGAAUAUACGGUGUAGGAGUAAAAUCCAUUGAGAUCGUAUAGAACACCAAUGGCGAAGGCAGCUCGCUAGGCAAUUACUGACGCUGAGGAACGAAAGCUAGGGUAGCGAACGGGAUUAGAUACCCCGGUAGUCCUAGCCGUAAACUAUGCAAACUAGGUAUCAGAAGCAUCGACCCUUCUUGUACCGAAGCUAACGCGUUAAGUUUGCCGCCUGGGUAGUACGGUCGCAAGACUAAAACUCAAAGGAAUUGGCGGGGGCUCGCACAAGCGGUGGAGCAUGGGGUUUAAUUCGACAACAAGCGGAGAACCUCACCAAGGUUUGACAUCUACGGAAUCCCCAAGAAACUGGGGAGUGCCCGCAAGGGAGCCGUAAGACAGGUGCUGCACGGUCGUCGUCAGCUCGUGCUGUGAAGUGUUCUGUUCAGUCAGGAAACGAGCGCAACCCUUAUCGUCUGUUGAAUUUCUCAGGCGAGACUGCCCCUGUAAAGGGGAGGAAGGUGGGGAUGACGUCAGAUCAGCGUGGCCCUUAUAUCUUGGGCGACACCCGUGCUACAAUGGCGAUUACAAUGGGUUGCAAUACCGUAAGGUGGAGCUAAUCUCAUAAAAGUCGUCUAAGUUCGGAUUGAGGGCUGCAACUCGCCCUCAUGAAGUCGGAAUCGCUAGUAACCGCGCAUCAGCCAUGGUGCGGUGAAUACGUUCUCGAGCCUUGCACACACUGCCCGUCAAGGCAGAAAAGUCGGUAACACCCGAAUCCCUCACCCUUGAGCAACUAUUCUCUGACGAAAAUCGUGAAAGUGUAAUCUGUAUAGUUGCUCUGAUUUGCAAGAUAUAUUUUUGCAAAUUUUAAGGCCGUAAGGCCUGUUGCUCAAGGGUGAGGGACACGGUGGGAUCGGUGAUUAGGCCUAAGUCGUAACAAGGUAUCCGUAGGGGAAUCUGCGGAUGGAUCACCUCCUUUCUA